AGUGAACGCUGGCGGUAGGCCUGACACAUGCAAGUCGAACGGCAGCACAGUAAGAGCUUGCUCUUACGGGUGGCGAGUGGCGGACGGGUGAGGAAUACAUCGGAAUCUACUUUUUCGUGGGGGAUAACGUAGGGAAACUUACGCUAAUACCGCAUACGACCUACGGGUGAAGGCAGGGGAUCUUCGGACCUUGCGCGAUUGAAUGAGCCGAUGUCGGAUUAGCUAGUUGGCGGGGUAAAGGCCCACCAAGGCGACGAUCCGUAGCUGGUCUGAGAGGAUGAUCAGCAACACUGGAACUGAGACACGGUCCAGACUCAUAAGGGAGGCAGCAGUGGGGAAUAUUGGACAAUGGGCGCAAGCCUGAUCCAGCCAUACCGCGUGGGUGAAGAAGGCCUUCGGGUUGUAAAGCCCUUUUGUUGGGAAAGAAAAGCAGCAGGUUAAUACCCCGCUGUUCUGACGGUACCCAAAGAAUAAGCACCGGCUAACUUCGUG
rnacentral:rRNA from 1 species